UACGUAGGGCGCAAGCGUUGUCCGGAAUUACUGGGCGUAAAGGGCUCGUAGGCGGCCAACUAAGUCAGACGUGAAAUCCCUCGGCUUAACCGGGGAACUGCGUCUGAUACUGGAUGGCUUGAGUGUAGGAGAGGGAUGCGGAAUUCCAGGUGUAGCGGUGAAAUGCGUAGAUAUCUGGAGGAACACCGGUGGCGAAGGCGGCAUCCUGGACUACUACUGACGCUGAGUGAGCGAAAGCCAGGGGAGCAAACGGG
rnacentral:rRNA from 1 species